GGAUCCAGACUUUGAUUCUGGCUCAGGAUGAACGCUAGCUACAGGCUUAACGCAUGCAAGUCGAGGGGAAACGACAUCGAAAGCUUGCUUUUGAUGGGCGUCGACCGGCGCACGGGUGAGUAACGCGUAUCCAACCUGCCCACCACUUGGGGAUAACCUUGCGAAAGUAAGACUAAUACCCAAUGAUAUCUCUAGAAGACAUCUGAAAGAGAUUAAAGAUUUAUCGGUGAUGGAUGGGGAUGCGUCUGAUUAGCUUGUUGGCGGGGUAACGGCCCACCAAGGCAACGAUCAGUAGGGGUUCUGAGAGGAAGGUCCCCCACAUUGGAACUGAGACACGGUCCAAACUCCUACGGGAGGCAGCAGUGAGGAAUAUUGGUCAAUGGGCGAGAGCCUGAACCAGCCAAGUAGCGUGCAGGAUGACGGCCCUAUGGGUUGUAAACUGCUUUUAUAAGGGAAUAAAGUGAGUCUCGUGAGACUUUUUGCAUGUACCUUAUGAAUAAGGACCGGCUAAUUCCGUGCCAGCAGCCGCGGUAAUACGGAAGGUCCGGGCGUUAUCCGGAUUUAUUGGGUUUAAAGGGAGCGUAGGCCGGAGAUUAAGCGUGUUGUGAAAUGUAGACGCUCAACGUCUGCACUGCAGCGCGAACUGGUUUCCUUGAGUACGCACAAAGUGGGCGGAAUUCGUGGUGUAGCGGUGAAAUGCUUAGAUAUCACGAAGAACUCCGAUUGCGAAGGCAGCUCACUGGAGCGCAACUGACGCUGAAGCUCGAAAGUGCGGGUAUCGAACAGGAUUAGAUACCCUGGUAGUCCGCACGGUAAACGAUGGAUGCCCGCUGUUGGUCUGAAUAGGUCAGCGGCCAAGCGAAAGCAUUAAGCAUCCCACCUGGGGAGUACGCCGGCAACGGUGCAACUCAAAUGAAUUGACGG
rnacentral:rRNA from 1 species